rnacentral:rRNA from 1 species
GAUGAACGCUGGCGGCGUGCCUAAUACAUGCAAGUCGAGCGGCAGCGAGUUCCUCACCGAGGCUCGGAACCGAUUAGCAUUUGGCAAUUAGCGAUGAACAAUGAAUUAUCUUUUAGCAAUUAGCGAUGUAAUCGCAUCGGCUAAUCGGUAAAUAGUUAAUUCAUCGUAAAUUGCUAAUUGAAAAUAGCUAAUUGAUAGUUUCCGAACUUCAGUGAGGGAUGUCGGCGAGCGGCGGACGACUGAGUAACACGUAGGAACGUACCCCAAACUGAGGGAUAAGCACCAGAAAUGGUGUCUAAUACCGCAUGUUGCAAUGCAGAGCAUUGCAUUUAGCAUUUCAUUGACUAGUACUUAGUAUUAUUAGUUUUUUGUUUUUAUUAGAUUACUGUAUCUUAAGAUGCAGCAUCAAAUACAAAUAAAACGUCUGUAGGUAUACUAAGAUUACAUAGUCAAUUGCAUCUGAUAAAUGUAGCGCUCUGUGUUGCCAAAGCUUCGGCGGUUUGGGAACGGCCUGCGUAUGAUUAGCUUGUUGGUAGGGUAAUGGCCUACCAAGGCGACGAUCAUUAGCUGGUCUGAGAGGAUGAUCAGCCAGGCUGGGACUGAGAACGGCCCAGACUCCUACGGGAGGCAGCAGUAGGGAAUUUUCCACAAUGGGCGAAAGCCUGAUGGAGCAACGCCGCGUGCAGGAUGAAUGCCUUCGGGUUGUAAACUGCUUUUGUUAGUGACGAAUAUGACGGUAACUAGCGAAUAAGGAUCGGCUAACUCCGUGCCAGCAGCCGCGGUCAUACGGAGGAUCCAAGCGUUAUCCGGAAUUACUGGGCGUAAAGAGUUGCGUAGGUGGCAGAGUAUGUCUGUAGUGAAAGCGUGUGGCUCAACCAUAUAUACAUUACAGAAACUGCUCAGCUAGAGGACGAGAGAGGUAACUAGAAUUCCUAGUGUAGGAGUGAAAUCCGUAGAUAUUAGGAGGAAUACCGAUGGCGUAGGCAGGUUACUGGCUCGUUCCUGACACUAAUGCACGAAAGCGUGGGGAGCAAACGGGAUUAGAUACCCCGGUAGUCCACGCCGUAAACGAUGGAUGCUAGCUGUUAUAGGUAUCGACCCCUGUAGUAGCGAAGCUAACGCGUUAAGCAUCCCGCCUGUGGAGUACGGUCGCAAGACUAAAACAUAAAGGAAUUGACGGGGACCCGCACAAGCGGUGGAGCGUGUUGUUUAAUUCGAUGGUAAACGAAGAACCUUACCCAGGUUUGACAUCCUUGGAAUCUUCCCGAAAGGGAAGAGUGCUUUUAGAACCAAGUGACAGGUGUUGCAUGGCCGUCGUCAGCUCGUGUCGUGAGAUGUUUGGUUAAGUCCAUCAACGAGCGCAACCCUUGUGGUCUGUUGUAUUUUUCAGGCCAAACUGCCCUGGUAACAGGGAGGAAGGAGGGGAUGAUGUCAGGUCAGUAUUACCCUUACAUCUGGGGCUACAAACACGCUACAAUGGCCGGUACAAAGGGCAGCCAAGUCGCAAGACGGAGCAAAUCCCAUCAAAACCGGUCUCAGUUCGGAUAGCAGGCUGAAACUCGCCUGCUUGAAGCCGGAAUCGCUAGUAACGGUAGGUCAGCUAUACUACCGUGAAUACGUUCCCGGGUCUUGUACACACCGCCCGUCAAACCAUGAAAGUCGGGGGUACCUGACGUGUGAGCUUUGCCUCGCCCUAAGGUAAACCAGAUGAUUGGGGUU